rnacentral:piRNA from 1 species
GCCAAACACCUGAGCUGUGAAGUCAUCAGC